AGCGAACGCUGGCGGUAGGCUUAACACAUGCAAGUCGAACGGCAGCACAGUAAGAGCUUGCUCUUACGGGGGGCGAGUGGCGUACGGGAGAGGUAUACAUCGGAAUCUACUCUUUCGUGGGGGUUAACGUAGGGAAACUUACGCUAAUACCGCAUACGACCUACGGGUGAAAGCAGGGGAUCUUCGGACCUUGCGCGGUUGGAUGAGCCGAUGUCGGAUUGGCUAGUUGGCGGGGUAAAGGCCCACGAAGGCGACGAUCCGUAGCUGGUAUGAGAGGAUGGUCAGCCAGACUGGGACGGAGACACGGUCCAGAGGCCUAGGGAAGGCAGCAGUGGGGAAUCUUGGACAAGGGGCGGAAACCUGAUCCAGCCGUACCGAGUGGGUGAAGAAGGCCUUCGGGUUGGAGAGCCCUUUUGUUGGGAAGGAAAAGCAGCAGGCUAAUACCGAGCUGUUAUGACGGUAAACGAAGAAUAAGCACCGGCUAACUUCGUG
rnacentral:rRNA from 1 species